GACUGAUCGCUCCGGUGGCCUAGUGGUAAUAGCGUCCGCCUCAAAUGCGGGAGGUUGCGGGUUCAAACCGUGGCCGAGUCA